UUUUCUCUUCGAGUUGAUGUUGAAACUCUAUGAUAAAGUUUCUUUUACAAUCACUAACAAUAAAUUAUUUGGUCGAUCUGUCUUCGAUUCUGUCUGAGUCACUAAAACUUUUGAACGACGAUAGAGAAUCCUUAAUUGGGAUGGAAAUUAAAUCCUUCUAGAAUAAAUACCGAGGUCUUAAUAUCACAGUUCAAAACUCCAUAUGCUACAGCACUUCAUUUAGUUUCUUCCAGAAUAAAGAUAGAAAUCUUAAAGACAAUCUAAAAUUCCAUAAGCCGUAGUAUUUCGUCCAUUUCCUCGCAGGGCUACCUCGGCUAUGCGGUUAGAUAACAGCCGUCAAGCUACAUUAACAAAAAAAGAGGCAACAACAAAGUGUGGACCAAUACAUAAAAACGCGUAAACAAAAUUAAUAACAUAUCGGCACAAUUUUCAAUGUAGCUUUUCGGAACUGGCAUUGAUAAUUAAAUAGAGGGGAAUUCAUAAAACAGGAAAUAUGUACAGGGUACAAAUGAAGGAGGUGUGUAUUGCAACAAUUAUGAUAGGGUUACUGUUGAGGCCAGCAAAGUGAGCGGUGCUGAUGCCUGUUUCUUCCAUGUGCAUACAAAUACCUUUUAUGCAGCAAGCCUAAAAUAAACAACACAACAACAGCAAAAGGGUCCAUUAAGUAGAUUCUUGAAAGCUUGUUUCUAAUCGAUUUCCGCGGUUCACUGUAGAAAGGAAGUCGCUUUGGCAGAGAACUGCUUAUGAGGCAACAACGAAGGUGGCUAAGUUCUCAGACAAACAGACCGACAGACAGGAUUAGGUGCUUGCAGUGGUGCCAAGUAAGUGCUUAUUUAAGUCUGAUUGCGCUAUUAGAGUUAACAAAAAGUAUGCAAGUGCAUGUGUGGAAAUAAUUUGUGUGCGUCGAAGAGCGGAUGCAGUCGGAGUUGUACGAAAAUACACUUAUGUAUGCAUGAGUGUGAUCGUAUGAAUACUCACAUAUGCCUUUGUUGUUCCUAUAAUUACUGCAAUAAUAAACGCCACAGCACAACAACAAACAACAAUGAAACAGAUAAUCGCUGUCGGCGUAUAAUAAAUAAACCGUGUCUCUUUGUAUAUGUGUGCUUACGUAAGUACAUAGUGGGAUUGAGCUGGACACAUGGAAAGUUCAUUUGAUAUUUUUCUCUUACGCACACAGAUACCUAUGAGUUAAUGAAUACCUGGUACACAAAAUUUUCGAGUACGUCGGGGUUAAGCGGCAGGAAAAAGACGCAAUCACAUACGAAAUAUAAACUGACUUAUUCAAAAAUAAAUAAACAACCAAAUUGUCAAAGUUUUUUAAAAAAUUAUAAAAUUCGAAAUGUUUAGUAUACGGCUUGCAAAUAUCUUGGCAACAGUUCACUUUUUGGCUUCGAAAUUUAUGAGUAGUGAAAUAAAAUUGUCGCGCUCAUUUGAAAUAAUCUGCGGUUUGAAGCAAAAAUAUAUUGAACCAGCCAGUUUGGUGUCAUGUUCCCCUUAACAAUGAAAUUCGCCCUAUUGGACGCAGCGUCUGAUUUGGUGCUGCUUGGUUUAAUUGUUAUGUUUUUGGCGACUUUGUUUCAACUGGUGAAAUUGGUGGUCGAACAGUGGCCUUUUCUGUGUCCAAAUGUGAUUUGCCCAUAUAUUUCCUCUUUCAUGAAGAUAGAUUAAGGUCAGCAAUAAAAGCUCAACGAGCCUGUAAUAAAAACACUUUGUGCACUGAAUUUCAGAAGAACGGCUGUUCCAA